rnacentral:lncRNA from 1 species
GGGAGCCCUGGGAGCCUUGUAGCGUGGGGGAGUUCACUGUGUAGAGAGGUUUCAUGUCUUCAUCUAUACAGUCACUUAUUUGUCUCAAAGUUCUCGAAAUUCCCUCUUAGAGAAGGAGAAAGUUAGAGAACUGGAGGCUGCGUACCCUGAUUGCGCAGAAGGGAAGCAGCCUCGCAUUCCCCGGGGCAGGCCCCCCCAUCCCCCGCCCCGCGCGUCCCGCCAGUAGGGGAAUUUAGCGGAGGGCUGCGGUUGUCUGGUGAAAGGCUAUCCAAGAAUAAGGGGCUUCACUUUUCCCAAGUAAGGGAAAGAGAAGGGGUCUACAGGGCUAGGGGUGGAGGUAGCGGAUGCAGUGAGCAGCCUCCGCAGAGAAAUUGACAAUUUAACCAGGGACCUGCGGCAGAGACAAGGCGGAGACACUCCCUUGCCCAGGAAAGCCGCCAGAGUCCGGCUUGUACCUGGGGAAGAAUCCUUAAGACGGUCUGGCCCAACACUCCUUUUGCUCACAGAGAAAGGGGAGAAGACUCCCGAGGGUGAAAAUGGUACAUUCGGAGCUGGAACUCAGCUCGCUGACCCCAAGCAGUGUUCCCUUCUUUUCGCCAGGUUUGCAUCCAAGAGAGGGGAGGACAGGGGCUAAAGGAUGCAGGGAGGCUGCUGAUUUCCACUGAAGAGCUAAUUUCCUGUGAGACAUUAACAGUGAUUUAAGAAAAAGAUUCCUGUAACUGUAAUGUCUUACAAUAACAGAAUGCAGGAGAGCACAUAUCAAUGAAGAAAAGACAAAAUGUACUUAUCCAUGAAGCUGAGGUUAAGAAACCAGUGUCUUCAAGAGCCAAGGACAGCACUGGGUCUGUGCAGAGUUGAGAGAUGGUGAUGACAUGUGGUUUCCAGCAU